UCCAUUGUAUUUCGCUACGUCGAUUGAUUGAUUUAUUUAAAGGGUGAGAUUUUAGGAAAAGACCGAUGUGAUAUCCCGAAUGAUUGGAAGAAUAGUUAAGCAUGGCGUUUAGCUAAUGACGAUUAUGUCAGAAGAUAAUCCUUAGAAAAAGGAAUUGAAUGAGUUAAGGAAAGGAAUAAUUAGGUAAUACCUAAUUGAAAUAGUAUGUUGAGGUUAUUCAACAAGAAGGAGAAUUAUGAAAAAUUACAAGUAAGGAUAAUGCAUAUAUAUAUGAAUGUAAUUAUGAAAUGGUGAUUCCGAG
rnacentral:lncRNA from 1 species